rnacentral:lncRNA from 1 species
UUUUUUGCCGUCUGGUCAUCCUCGUCGGUCUUCUGCUUCUGGGUAUCGACAUCGUUAUCCUCAUCAUCUUCAGCUGCCCGCUUGCCCGUAGCUGACUCAGCUCCCUCAUCUUCAUCUCCAUCCUCUUCCUCACCAUCACCUUCUUCCUCCCCACCUUCUUCCUCUUCUUCAUCUACCUCGUUGUCAGCCUCCGGCUCCCCAUUUUCCUCAUUAGCAUUCCCGUGAGCAGGGGCGUCUCUUCCAUUUUCCGCCUCUUCCACAACUUCCUUCUUCUCCUUUAAGUCCUCGGUGGUGAUUUCGGAGCUGGUGUCUACGGCUGCGUCUGACAUGGUGGGGCACGCCGGUGACGCGAUGCAGGGGAUAAAAAAGAAAGCGACAGUUCAGGGACUCUGGCGAUAAAGCUGCCGGAGUCCGCGGCGGCGGAGGCGGCUGCGGCGAGCAAGGAGGCUGACGACGCACAAUGCAAAGACGGCUUUUCAGAGCAGCCAGUGGGGCAGGACAAUGUUUUUCAUCAAAUGUCCUUAGAUUUGGAGGAGGUUUCCCCAGUGUAUCCAGUGGUUGUCUUCCUCUUGAUUAAUAUUAAAGGAGGAGAAAAAGUGUGUAUUGGGGUCAGUGCAGAAAACAAAUCAUCCAAGCACACGAAGUGGAAUUUGCUAAUAGCAUUACUACUCACCCAGUGACUUCGGAGUCACAACCCAGGACACGGUUUUCCGCCCAUUUCUACAGACACAGUGAGAUUCUUCAUUCUUCUCUGUUGGAACAGCCAGGAAAGCGGAAGAGACCUCCAGCUGCACAACGACCUGUCCCCCACACCCAACCACAAGUUUAUGAAGGGAUGCAGAACAGCAUGAAUACUGCAAAAGAUGCUCUGUGCAUCAGAACGUCCAGAAGAGAGAGAUUUAAAUUGCUUUCAGCUAAGCUGUAGACCUCUAGCAGAUGAACGACAUAUUUUCCUGAAGGACUUGCUUCGGUGUGGAAGUGAUUCCGCUGUGAGUUGUGUCUUUUGCGUUGUUGCACUCUUCAUCAUAUUCAUCCGCAGGACCUCCAGCUCUAAAGGGUGUGAAGAGGAUACUGACCCACCAGAAAGAGACCCCACUGCUAGAACGAAUAAGAUGUGCUGAAAGCCGGAGCAUAACUUGGCCAUUCCCAAGAUUUAACAACAAACUAACUACCCAUCAUUAACAGUAAAGCAGAAAGAAAACAAUCAGUAAGAGAUUAUAUAGACCUAAGAGAUGUUACAGACCGAAGAAGAACCUAUGGAGGAAGACAGGAAGAUGAGAGAGAUUUGAAGAUGGUAUGUGGCUGAAUUUGAAGAUAGAGAAAGGAACCGCAAGCAAAGAAUGCAAGAGGUCUCUAGAAGCUGGAAAAGGCAAGGAAAGAGUCUCCCCUCAAGCUCCAGCAGGAAUGCAGUCCUGACACCUUGAGUUUAGCCUAGUGAGACUUCUGACCUCCAGAACUAGAAGAUACAAGUGGUGUUUUAAGGCACUAAAACGAAGAACUAGAAGUAUUGUUUUAAGCCCAUAAAUUUGUGAUAAUCUGUUACAGUAGUAAUAGGCAAUGCAUACACAAGCACACAAAGUAAAAUUUUUCUGUGGUUAUUUUCCAUAUUUUUUCAGUUAUUUUCUGCCUUUUGAAGACAUUAAAGACAUAAAAUGAAUAUGUAUUAGUUUAGGAAUAAAAUUUAAAAUGUAGGAAUGCUAUAAAAGAAGAAAAAAUUUUAACUGGGCUAAAGCAAACCCAGUAUGUCAUCCUAUUACAUCAGCUUCUUCAUCUUUGGAUGAAGAGGUUGGUGACUGUUUCUUCUAAUGUGAGAAUAGCUCCAAAUUGCUAAAUUGUUCAGAAUUUGACAAGAUGAAAGAGGAAAGAAAAAGGAAAUCUUGAAAACAUUUACUGUUUCCUUGUUCAAUGGAUAACACAUGGAUUCCUGAUUGGGAGAUUUUUCCUCUUGCUUUGAUCUGAAGGCAGAAGGAAAUAUAUUCAUUAUUGUUUAAAAGAAUACAUUUUAACCUAACUUUAAAACAUUCAUGAUAUAUUUGUGAACCAUAAUCUUAUUACCCCAACCUAGAAGUUAUUUUGAUCACUAAACUUCCUUUUCAAUAUCUUCAUAUAUGUGUCUUUACAUACUUUAAAUAAAAAAUAUAUAAUUGUAUAACGUUUUAUUAUUUUAUUUAAUAUUUAUCACUUCUAAUAAAUAUAUGUAAAUAUGUAAACAGAAUUUAUGUAUUUUUUCAACAAACAUUUCAAACAUCUACCUUAUGCAAAGCAAUAUAUAGUGAAGGCAGAUAUAAAGUAUAAAUAAGUAUUCUCUAAUAUUGCCUCUAUUUUAAAAAAACUAAAUGUAUUGAGCAUUCUCUAUAUGCCAGGAACUGAACUAAGUAAUUUACUGUUAAUUUACACUAUAAUUCCAUGAAGUAGGUAUUAAUAUUAUCUCCAGGACUAAAGUGAGAUGAUUGACAUUUCUCUUUCCAGAUGAAAUUAGGUAAGUUAUCCAAGGUCAUGUAUCUAGGAAGCAAUAAAUCUAGGAAAUUCAAAUUUAUUGUUAAUUUUUCUAUUUUUUUAUGGAAUUAAGAAAAUGUUAUUUAUAGUUAAUGCUCUUAUACAGAAUUCCCUAUAUUUAACUUUUUCUUCUUAAAAUGACUUAUUUGAGUAACUAUGAGCCUUGGACAUUUUCAAUUUGGGGGCAUUCGUGGGAAUAUUGGCCUCAAAAGUAUCACUCCAAUUUAUAGUCUGCCUGUUAAUAUACCUUUUCCUUGCAAUCACACCAGUCAUGAGCUUUGUAAAAUAAUUAGAAUUGAAUAUUUUUCCAGAAGAUUGUUUAUAAGUUUUAUUUCCUUUUGAAUGAGUUCAUGGUUCUUAGCUUUUGCUUCUUUAUCUACUGAGUUCUAAGAAAACAUUUUCUCUUUGACUAAAAACAUUUUAUCCUAGGCUCUUUCCUCUCCUGCUCAAUAAGUUGCCAUUGGAACUCUGCAAGGAAAAAUUCUAAAAGUUUCAGUGGUGAAUAGAGCAUAAAUGAGAAAUUAAAGCAUUAAUAUUUGUUAGGAAGUAACUUCUCUUCUAGCACAAAAACAAUACAAAAUAUAUUAUUGUUAUCUUAUAAAUGGCAUUACUUAGACAGGAACCCAGCAAUUUUGGAGUCUACACAAUCAGAAGGAGCUACAGUGGGUCUUAUUCUUACCAAAUAGUAGAAGGUUAAUUCUUUUUCAUCCCUGAGAAUCUGUUUAUUCAGAAUGUAGUGUGCUUGAAUCUCCUGGGUUUGUCCACAGGUCAAAGUACCAAUAAUAGGUUUGAGGUGAAUAUAACUCUUGCUUGGGGAAAAAAAAUGCUUUGCAGUAUGAGAUGUUUGCGUAUGAAAUUCAUCAAGCCACCAGUUAUCAGAACAAUUGUUACUCUCUUUGUAUUUGACCUAAUGGAAGAAUAAAUAAGCUGUUUUAUAUAUAAUAUAUAUAUGAUUGCAAAAAUAUAUAAAAAUAUGCAUAUUAUAUAUGUUUGUAUAUAUAUACAUAAAGCAAUAUAAUAAAGCCAU